rnacentral:lncRNA from 1 species
GGUAGGGUGUUAGGGAGAAAAAAAUAUUAAACUAUAAUAAAUAGUUCAAAUAUAUCAAUCUUACAAUUAUAAUAGUUAGGUAGGGUAUUAGGGAGAAAAAAAUAUUAGACAAAUGAUCAAAUCUCUCAUUCUUCGAAAAGACUCAAAGGGAAGUGAUUGAAAUCUUGUCAUGAUAGUUCAUUAAAAGGUUUUUAGGAAUAAAUAUCAAGAAAUUUUUUUUGAUCUGAAUGAAAUAAUAUAAAAAUAUAUAUAGUGCUUCCAAUAUUAAAAUUCCCUUAGAUUUAAAGAACUGUAUUUUUGGGAUUGUCAGGAUCUUAUAACAUAUUAGAAACCACAUAUUAAAAAUAAUUUCUAUACAUAAUAGUAUAUACAUUAGAGUAACCACAAAUCAAAAUCAAUACCUUUUGUUAAUUUACAAUCAUAUUUUGGUAAAUACAUUAAAAUAAUAA